rnacentral:rRNA from 1 species
GACGUAGGGCGCGAGCGUUGUCCGGAUUUAUUGGGCGUAAAGAGCUCGUAGGCGGCUUGUUGCGUCAGCUGUGAAAACCCGCAGCUCAACUGUGGGCUUGCAGCUGAUACGGGCAGGCUUGAGUUCGGUAGGGGAGACUGGAAUUCCUGGUGUAGCGGUGAAAUGCGUAGAUAUCUGGAGGAACACCGGUGGCGAAGGCGGCAUCCUGGACCGGCAUUGACGCUGAGGCGCGAAAGCCAGGGGAGCAAACGGG